ensembl:lncRNA
ACAGGACCUGAGAGUUAGGCUGUGACACUGCCAGGAAUGGAGUGGAGGGUCUGGCUGACACCAAGAAGUCUGCAACACCAUCUCCCUUUUAGUAUAAAACAAGCCUGAAUUCUGACUCAGCCUCAACUUUCUCCUCUCCACUGAAAAAAAUGUAGGGGGCCGAAGGUGAGUGAGAGAGUUCGGCGACACUUCUGAGGUUGCCAGAGGUCAGAGACUUCCCAUCCAGGCUGUUCCUGGUUAAUAAACAACAAAGAAGAGACAAGUCCAUAAACAAGCCGCAGAGCAGAUCGGGCUUAUGGGGAGCAGCAACUGGCAGGGAGGCUUAUACGCUCAGGGAUGAGGCUGGGGAAGCGAAAGGUGGGAAACAGAAUGGGCAGACGUCAGACCGCCCCAGGCCACUCAAGGAG